AGAGUUUGAUCCUGGCUCAGGACGAACGCUGGCGGCACGCUUAACACAUGCAAGUCGAACGAGAGAAGAGGAGCUUGCUUUUCUGAUCUAGUGGCGGACGGGUGAGUAACACGUGAGCAAUCUGCCUUUCAGAGGGGGAUACCGAUUGGAAACGAUCGUUAAUACCGCAUAACAUAAUUGAACCGCAUGAUUUGAUUAUCAAAGAUUUAUCGCUGAAAGAUGAGCUCGCGUCUGAUUAGCUAGUUGGUAAGGUAACGGCUUACCAAGGCGACGAUCAGUAGCCGGACUGAGAGGUUGAUCGGCCACAUUGGGACUGAGACACGGCCCAGACUCCUACGGGAGGCAGCAGUGGGGAAUAUUGCACAAUGGAGGAAACUCUGAUGCAGCGAUGCCGCGUGAGGGAAGAAGGUUUUAGGAUUGUAAACCUCUGUCUUCAGGGACGAAAAAAGACGGUACCUGAGGAGGAAGCUCCGGCUAACUACGUGCCAGCAGCCGCGGUAAUACGUAGGGAGCGAGCGUUGUCCGGAAUUACUGGGUGUAAAGGGAGCGUAGGCGGGAUCGCAAGUCAGAUGUGAAAACUAUGGGCUUAACCCAUAAACUGCAUUUGAAGCUGUGGUUCUUGAGUGAAGUAGAGGUAAGCGGAAUUCCUAGUGUAGCGGUGAAAUGCGUAGAUAUUAGGAGGAACAUCAGUGGCGAAGGCGGCUUACUGGGCUUUAACUGACGCUGAGGCUCGAAAGCGUGGGGAGCAAACAGGAUUAGAUACCCUGGUAGUCCACGCCGUAAACGAUGAUUACUAGGUGUGGGGGGACUGACCCCUUCCGUGCCGCAGCAAACGCAAUAAGUAAUCCACCUGGGGAGUACGACCGCAAGGUUGAAACUCAAAGGAAUUGACGGGGGCCCGCACAAGCAGUGGAGUAUGUGGAUUAAUUCGAAGCAACGCGAAGAACCUUACCAGGUCUUGACAUCGUAUGCAUAGCUCAGAGAUGAGUGAAAUCUCUUCGGAGACAUAUAGACAGGUGGUGCAUGGUUGUCGUCAGCUCGUGUCGUGAGAUGUUGGGUUAAGUCCCGCAACGAGCGCAACCCUUACUGUUAGUUGCUACGCAAGAGCACUCUAGCAGGACUGCCGUUGACAAAACGGAGGAAGGUGGGGAUGACGUCAAAUCAUCAUGCCCCUUAUGACCUGGGCCUCACACGUACUACAAUGGCUGUAAACAGAGGGAUGCAAAGCCGCGAGGUGGAGCGAACCCCUAAAAGCAGUCUUAGUUCGGAUUGUAGGCUGCAACCCGCCUACAUGAAGUCGGAAUUGCUAGUAAUCGCAGAUCAGCAUGCUGCGGUGAAUACGUUCCCGGGCCUUGUACACACCGCCCGUCACGCCAUGGGAGUCGGUAACACCCGAAGCCUGUAGUCUAACCGCAAGGAGGACGCAGUCGAAGGUGGGAUUGAUGACUGGGGUGAAGUCGUAACAAGGUAGCCG
rnacentral:rRNA from 1 species